rnacentral:rRNA from 1 species
GACGAACGCUGGCGGCGUGCCUAAUACAUGCAAGUAGAACGCUGAAGGAGGAGCUUGCUUCUCUGGAUGAGUUGCGAACGGGUGAGUAACGCGUAGGUAACCUGCCUGGUAGCGGGGGAUAACUAUUGGAAACGAUAGCUAAUACCGCAUAAGAGUGGAUGUUGCAUGACAUUUGCUUAAAAGGUGCACUUGCAUCACUACCAGAUGGACCUGCGUUGUAUUAGCUAGUUGGUGGGGUAAGGGCUCACCAAGGCGACGAUACAUAGCCGACCUGAGAGGGUGAUCGGCCACACUGGGACUGAGACACGGCCCAGACUCCUACGGGAGGCAGCAGUAGGGAAUCUUCGGCAAUGGACGGAAGUCUGACCGAGCAACGCCGCGUGAGUGAAGAAGGUUUUCGGAUCGUAAAGCUCUGUUGUAAGAGAAGAACGAGUGUGAGAGUGGAAAGUUCACACUGUGACGGUAUCUUACCAGAAAGGGACGGCUAACUACGUGCCAGCAGCCGCGGUAAUACGUAGGUCCCGAGCGUUGUCCGGAUUUAUUGGGCGUAAAGCGAGCGCAGGCGGUUAGAUAAGUCUGAAGUUAAAGGCUGUGGCUUAACCAUAGUAGGCUUUGGAAACUGUUUAACUUGAGUGCAAGAGGGGAGAGUGGAAUUCCAUGUGUAGCGGUGAAAUGCGUAGAUAUAUGGAGGAACACCGGUGGCGAAAGCGGCUCUCUGGCUUGUAACUGACGCUGAGGCUCGAAAGCGUGGGGAGCAAACAGGAUUAGAUACCCCGGUAGUCCACGCUGUAAACGAUGAGUGCUAGGUGUUAGACCCUUUCCGGGGUUUAGUGCCGUAGCUAACGCAUUAAGCACUCCGCCUGGGGAGUACGACCGCAAGGUUGAAACUCAAAGGGAUUGACGGGGGCCCGCACAAGCGGUGGAGCAUGUGGUUUAAUUCGAAGCAACGCGAAGAACCUUACCAGGUCUUGACAUCCCUCUGACCGCUCUAGAGAUAGAGCUUUCCUUCGGGACAGAGGUGACAGGUGGUGCAUGGUUGUCGUCAGCUCGUGUCGUGAGAUGUUGGGUUAAGUCCCGCAACGAGCGCAACCCCUAUUGUUAGUUGCCAUCAUUUAGUUGGGCACUCUAGCGAGACUGCCGGUAAUAAACCGGAGGAAGGUGGGGAUGACGUCAAAUCAUCAUGCCCCUUAUGACCUGGGCUACACACGUGCUACAAUGGCUGGUACAACGAGUCGCAAGCCGGUGACGGCAAGCUAAUCUCUUAAAGCCAGUCUCAGUUCGGAUUGUAGGCUGCAACUCGCCUACAUGAAGUCGGAAUCGCUAGUAAUCGCGGAUCAGCACGCCGCGGUGAAUACGUUCCCGGGCCU